CUUGGGCGUUCCUUGCAUAAUUGAAAUUGUAAAAGGCCGGGUGCCUCCAAAAUAUCCGCUGACUUUCUCGGCACAAUUUGCUUUUCUGUUUUUCACCAUUGGGCUAGGACUGGUUGCCACCGCAGCGCUGAUGAGUUUCUGGAAGUUCCAAACGAAAAGGAUAUACGGAGCCUUCUUGAUUACGUUAUAUUUAGCAUUUGUGACUCUAUCUUUGCUUGAAGAACUCCGCGUGUUCACCAUAUCACUCUGAGGGACCAUUUGCUGAGCGGGAGAACGAUCUCCGUACCCCUACCAAGACAAAUGCAGGAAAUUUGUCUUGGUAGGGGUAAAAAAUAGCAGCUGAACGAAUGAGAGAAAGUUGAAUGCAGCAGUUGUGCAAAUCCAAAGCAGUGGCUGAAUAAUCAAAAAGUCUAGAGUUGAAUUGAUGAAAAGAAAAACAGAGGAACAGGAAGAAAUUUUUCUGAUGAACUCUUCAUAGUGAAGACUGUUAUUUCAUAUGUGCGCAAAAUACAAUAUUGGAAACAUGCUUAAUCAUUGUAAAAAAUAAAGAAAAAAAACCCGCAUUAAACUUGUAGAAAAAACAUGUGUACGUUUUAAGUUCAAGUGUAUAUUGUAUGAUUAUGAUAUCGUAUCAAAAAAAAAAAAAAAAUAAUAAUAAUAAAUAAAUG